rnacentral:rRNA from 1 species
UUCCGGUUGAUCCUGCCGGACCAUACUGCUAUCGGGGAAAGACUAGGCCAUGCAAGUCAAGCGCUUCUAAGCUAUGUUAGAAGUGCGGCGAACAGCUCAGUAACACGUAGCUAACCUACCCUUAGGAUGAGAAUAACCCCGGGAAACUGGGGCUAAUGCUCAAUAGGUGUGUAUGUCUGGAAUGGUUUCACACCCAGAUCAGAUUAGAAACAUGCUUCUAAAAUGGCCUAAGGACGGGGCUGCGACCGAUCAGGUAGUUGGUGGGGUAACGGCCCACCAAGCCUAUAACCGGUACGGGCCCUGAGAGGGGGAGCCCGGAGAUGGGAGCUGAGACAAUGUCCUAGGCCCUAUGGGGCGCAGCAGGCGCGAAAACUCCACAAUACACGAAAGUGUGAUGGGGUUACCCCGAGUGCCGUCCGAUGAGGGUGGCUUUUCCCUGGUUUAAGGAGCCAGGGGUAAUAAAGGGGGGGCAAGACUGGUGUCAGCCGCCGCGGUAAUACCAGCCCCCUGAGUCGUAUGGACGAUUAUUUGGCCUAAAGCGCCCGUAGCUGGCUUGACAAGUCUUCCGUUAAAUCUGGAGAUUUAAUCGUCAGCUCGCGGAAGAUACUGUCAGGCUUGGGGACGGGAGAGGUCGACGGUAGUCUCCGAGGUAGGGGUGAAAUCCUAUAAUCUCGGGAGGACCACCAGUGGCGAAGGCGGUCGACCAGAACGUGCCCGACGGUGAGGGGCGAAAGCUGGGGGAGCGAACCGGAUUAGAUACCCGGGUAGUCCCAGCCGUAAACGAUGCGAGCUAGGUGUUGGAGCAACCACGAGUUGUUCCAGUGCCGCAGAGAAGUUCUUAAGCUCGCCGCCUGGGAAGUACGGCCGCAAGGCUGAAACUUAAAGGAAUUGGCGGGGGAGCACCACAAGGGAUGAAGGCUGUGGUUCAAUUGGAGUCAACGCCGGGAACCUUACUGGGGCUGACAGCAGAAUGAAGGCCAGACUGAAGAUCUUGCUAGACAAGCUGAGAGGUGGUGCAUGGCCGUCGCCAGUUCGUGCCGUGAGGUGUCCUGUUAAGUCAGGAAACGAACGAGACCCUCACUAUUAGUUGCCAUCAGGCUCCUACUGGAGCGCCUGAGCACACUAAUGGGACUGCCGCCGAUAAGGCGGAGGAAGGGGAGGGCCACGGCAGGUCAGUAUGCCCCGAAUGCCCCAGGCCACACACGGCCUGCAAUGGUAGGGACAGAGGGUUCCGACCUCGGAAGAAGAAGGCAAUCCCUAAACCCUACCUCAGUCGGGAUUGAGGGCUGAAACCCGCCCUCAUGAACAUGGAAUCCCUAGUAACCGCAUGUCAUCAUCGUGCGGUGAAUACGUCCCUGCUCCUUGCACACACCGCCCGUCGCUCCACCCAAAUCGGGUCUGGAUGAGGCCUAGUCUCUUUGGCUGUGUCGAAUCUGGGUUCGACGAGGAGGGAGAAGUCGUAACAAGGUAGCC